rnacentral:rRNA from 1 species
GGGAAUAUUGGACACUGGGCGAAAGCCUGAUGGAGCAACGCCGCGUGGGUGAAGAAGGCCUUCGGGUUGUAAAAUUCUGUUAUAAGGGAAGAAAGGUGAUAGGAGGAAAUGACUAUCAAUUGACGGUACCUUAUGAGAAAGCCACGGCUAACUACGUUCCAGCAGCCGCGGUAAUACGUAGGUGGCAAGCGUUGUCCGGAUUUAUUGGGCGUAAAGCGAGCGCAGGCGGUUUCUUAAGUCUGAUGUGAAAGCCCCCGGCUCAACCGGGGAGGGUCAUUGGAAACUGGGAGACUUGAGUGCAGAAGAGGAGAGUGGAAUUCCAUGUGUAGCGGUGAAAUGCGUAGAGAUAUGGAGGAACACCAGUGGCGAAGGCGGCUUCCUGGUCUGCAACUGACACUGAGGCGCGAAAGCGUGGGUAGCA